rnacentral:rRNA from 1 species
GAUCAAGCUACAAAGGGCGCACGGUGAAUGCCCUGGCACUAGGAGCCGAUGAAGGACGUGAUAAGCUGCGAUAAGCUACAUGUAGGCGCACAUAGCCUGUGAUAUGUAGAUUUCCGAAUGGGGAAACCCAUCUAGUUAUGCUAGAUACUGUAUACUGAAUACAUAGGUAUAUGGAGGUACACCUGGGGAACUGAAACAUCUAAGUACCCAGAGGAAGAGAAAGAAAAUUCGAUUCCCUAAGUAGCGGCGAGCGAAAGGGGAAGAGCCCAAACCAGGAACUUGUUCCUGGGGUUGCGGAUAGAUCAUAACGCUUUGAUUUCUUUAGUUGAAGAGAACUGGAAAGUUCCGUCGUAGAAGGUAAUAACCCUGUAGGCGAAAAGGAAAGAAAAGUAGAUCUACUCCAGAGUACCACGAGACACGUGAAACCUUGUGGGAAGCUGGGAGGACCAUCUCCCAAGGCUAAAUACUACCUAGUGACCGAUAGUGAAGCAGUACCGUGAGGGAAAGGUGAAAAGAACCCCGGAAGGGGAGUGAAAUAGAAUCUGAAACCGUGUGCCUACAAUCGGUCGGAGCACAUUAAAGUGUGACGGCGUACUUUUUGUAGAACGGGCCAGCGAGUUACGAUAUAUAGCAAGGUUAAGCACUUAUGGUGUGGAGCCGAAGGGAAACCGAGUCUGAAUAGGGCAACUAGUUGUAUAUUGUAGACCCGAAACCGGGUGACCUAUCCAUGGCCAGGAUGAAGCGGAAGUAAAAUUCCGUGGAGGUCCGAACCACGUUGGUGUUGAAAAACCAUGGGAUGAGCUGUGGAUAGCGGAGAAAUUCCAAUCGAACUCGGAGAUAGCUGGUUCUCCUCGAAAUAGCUUUAGGGCUAGCGUCGGGUAAUUGAGUAGUGGAGGUAGAGCACUGAAUGGGCUAGGGGCUGACAACAGUUACUGAACCCUAUCAAACUCCGAAUGCCAUAUACUUGUACCCCGGCAGUCAGACUACGAAUGAUAAGAUCCGUGGUCAAAAGGGAAACAGCCCAGACCAUCAGCUAAGGUCCCAAAGUGUAAGUUAAGUGGGAAAGGAUGUGGGAUUUCUAAGACAACUAGGAUGUUGGCUUAGAAGCAGCCACUCAUUUAAAGAGUGCGUAAUAGCUCACUAGUCGAGAGAUCCUGCGCCGAAGAUGUAACGGGGCUCAAACUUACCACCGAAGCUAUGGAUGUGUACUUUGUACACGUGGUAGAGGAGCUUUCUGUACAGGUUGAAGUCAUACCGUAAGGAGUGGUGGACAGUACAGAAGUGAGAAUGCUGGCAUAAGUAGCGAAAAACAAGUGAGAAUCUUGUUGACCGAAUAUCUAAGGUUUCCUGGGGAAGGCUCGUCCUCCCAGGGUUAGUCGGGACCUAAGCCGAGGCCGAAAGGCGUAGGUGAUGGACAACUGGUUGAUAUUCCAGUACCACCAUAAUGCGUUUGACAAAUGGGAUGACGCAGGAGGAUAGGAUGUGCGCACUAUUGGAUGUGCGUCUAAGCACUUAGGGUGUUAAGUAGGCAAAUCCGCUUAACAUUAAGCCUGAGGUGUGAUGGGGAGCCUAUUUUGGCGAAGUAUCUGAUUCCACGCUGCCAAGAAAAGUCUCUAUGGAGCAAA